rnacentral:tRNA from 1 species
GGCUGCGUGGUCGAGUGGUGAGGCAGAGGCCUGCAAAGCCUCCGACGCGGGUUCGAGUCCCGCCGCAGCCACCA